rnacentral:rRNA from 1 species
GAUGAACGCUAGCUACAGGCUUAACACAUGCAAGUCGAGGGGAAACGACAUCGAAAGCUUGCUUUUGAUGGGCGUCGACCGGCGCACGGGUGAGUAACGCGUAUCCAACCUGCCCAUCACUUGGGAAUAACCUUGCGAAAGUAAGACUAAUACCCAAUGAUAUCCCACGAAGGCAUCGGAAUGGGAUUAAAGAUUUAUCGGUGAUGGAUGGGGAUGCGUCUGAUUAGCUUGUUGGCGGGGUAACGGCCCACCAAGGCAACGAUCAGUAGGGGUUCUGAGAGGAAGGCCCCCCACAUUGGAACUGAGACCCGGCCCAAACUCCUACGGGAGGCGGAAGGGGGGAAUAUUGGUCAAGGGGCGAGGGCCUGAACCAGCCAAGCAGGGUGCAGGAAGACGGCCCUAUGGGUUGUAAACUGCUUUUAUAAGGGAAUAAAGUGGGUCACGUGUGACUUUUUGCAUGUACCUUAUGAAUAAGGACCGGCUAAUUCCGU